rnacentral:rRNA from 1 species
UGGGGAAUAUUGCGCAAUGGGCGAAAGCCUGACGCAGCAACGCCGCGUGCGGGAUGACGGCCUUCGGGUUGUAAACCGCUUUCAGCAGGGAAGAAGCCGCAAGGUGACGGUACCUGCAGAAGAAGCACCGGCUAACUACGUGCCAGCAGCCGCGGUAAUACGUAGGGUGCAAGCGUUGUCCGGAUUUAUUGGGCGUAAAGAGCUCGUAGGCGGUCUGUUACGUCGGUUGUGAAAAUCCGGGGCUUAACCCCGGACCUGCAUCCGAUACGGGCAGACUUGAGUGUGGUAGGGGAGACUGGAAUUCCUGGUGUAGCGGUGAAAUGCGCAGAUAUCAGGAGGAACACCGAUGGCGAAGGCAGGUCUCUGGGCCACAACUGACGCUGAGGAGCGAAAGCGUGGGGAGCAAACAGG